ACUCAAAGGAAUUGACGGGGGCCCGCACAAGCAGCGGAGCAUGUGGUUUAAUUCGAAGCAACGCGAAGAACCUUACCUAGACUUGACAUCUCCUGAAUUACCCGUAACUGGGGAAGUCGCUUCGGCGACAGGAAGACAGGUGGUGCAUGGUUGUCGUCAGCUCGUGUCGUGAGAUGUUGGGUUAAGUCCCGCAACGAGCGCAACCCCUAUUGUUAGUUGCCAUCAUUUAGUUGGGCACUCUAGCGAGACUGCCCGGGUUAACCGGGAGGAAGGUGGGGAUGACGUCAAAUCAUCAUGCCCCUUAUGUCUAGGGCUACACACGUGCUACAAUGGCAAGUACAAAGAGAAGCAAGACCGCGAGGUGGAGCCAAACUAUAAAACUUGUCUCAGUUCGGAUUGCAGGCUGAAACUCGCCUGCAUGAAGCUGGAGUUGCUAGUAAUCGCGAAUCAGAAUGUCGCGGUGAAUACGUUCCCGGGCCUUGUACACACCGCCCGU
rnacentral:rRNA from 1 species